GCAGUCGAGCGGACAGAUGGGAGCUUGCUCCCUGAUGUUAGCGGCGGACGGGUGAGUAACACGUGGGUAACCUGCCUGUAAGACUGGGAUAACUCCGGGAAACCGGGGCUAAUACCGGAUGGUUGUUUGAACCGCAUGGUUCAAACAUAAAAGGUGGCUUCGGCUACCACUUACAGAUGGACCCGCGGCGCAUUAGCUAGUUGGUGAGGUAACGGCUCACCAAGGCAACGAUGCGUAGCCGACCUGAGAGGGUGAUCGGCCACACUGGGACUGAGACACGGCCCAGACUCCUACGGGAGGCAGCAGUAGGGAAUCUUCCGCAAUGGACGAAAGUCUGACGGAGCAACGCCGCGUGAGUGAUGAAGGUUUUCGGAUCGUAAAGCUCUGUUGUUAGGGAAGAACAAGUACCGUUCGAAUAGGGCGGUACCUUGACGGUACCUAACCAGAAAGCCACGGCUAACUACGUGCCAGCAGCCGCGGUAAUACGUAGGUGGCAAGCGUUGUCCGGAAUUAUUGGGCGUAAAGGGCUCGCAGGCGGUUUCUUAAGUCUGAUGUGAAAGCCCCCGGCUCAACCGGGGAGGGUCAUUGGAAACUGGGGAACUUGAGUGCAGAAGAGGAGAGUGGAAUUCCACGUGUAGCGGUGAAAUGCGUAGAGAUGU
rnacentral:rRNA from 1 species